AUUACCGAGUUAUACAACUCAUCAACCCUGUGAACAUACCUAUAACGUUGCCUCGGCGGGAACAGACGGCCCCGUAACACGGGCCGCCCCCGCCAGAGGACCCCCUAACUCUGUUUCUAUAAUGUUUCUUCUGAGUAAACAAGCAAAUAAAUUAAAACUUUCAACAACGGAUCUCUUGGCUCUGGCAUCGAUGAAGAACGCAGCGAAAUGCGAUAAGUAAUGUGAAUUGCAGAAUUCAGUGAAUCAUCGAAUCUUUGAACGCACAUUGCGCCCGCCAGUAUUCUGGCGGGCAUGCCUGUUCGAGCGUCAUUACAACCCUCAGGCCCCCGGGCCUGGCGUUGGGGAUCGGCGGAAGCCCCCUGCGGGCACAACGCCGUCCCCCAAAUACAGUGGCGGUCCCGCCGCAGCUUCCAUUGCGUAGUAGCUAACACCUCGCAACUGGAGAGCGGCGCGGCCACGCCGUAAAACACCCAACUUCUGAAUGUUGACCUCGAAUCAGGUAGGAAUACCCGCUGAACUUAAGCAUAUCAAUAAGCGGAGGAAAAGAAACCAACAGGGAUUGCCCCAGUAACGGCGAGUGAAGCGGCAACAGCUCAAAUUUGAAAUCUGGCUCUCGGGCCCGAGUUGUAAUUUGUAGAGGAUGCUUUUGGUGAGGUGCCUUCCGAGUUCCCUGGAACGGGACGCCAUAGAGGGUGAGAGCCCCGUCUGGUUGGACACCGAUCCUCUGUAAAGCUCCUUCGACGAGUCGAGUAGUUUGGGAAUGCUGCUCUAAAUGGGAGGUAUAUGUCUUCUAAAGCUAAAUACCGGCCAGAGACCGAUAGCGCACAAGUAGAGUGAUCGAAAGAUGAAAAGAACUUUGAAAAGAGAGUUAAAAAGUACGUGAAAUUGUUGAAAGGGAAGCGCUUGUGACCAGACUUGGGCUUGGUUGAUCAUCCGGGGUUCUCCCCGGUGCACUCUUCCGGCUCAGGCCAGCAUCAGUUCGCCCUGGGGGAUAAAGGCUUCGGGAAUGUGGCUCUCUCCGGGGAGUGUUAUAGCCCGCUGCGUAAUACCCUGUGGCGGACUGAGGUC
rnacentral:rRNA from 1 species